GUCCUCGUCUCUCUGCGCGCUUAGCGGAGGUCUGUUUAUUCAUCAACGCACUACAUCUUUAGAAUUAUUCGGGGUUUAAGGACACAUGUCACGGUGUGAAAGGACAAUCCUGACUGAUGGGCGGCUAAAUGGAUUGAGACGGUCCGUCGAGAGAAAGAAUAAGAGGAGAGAGAGAUAGAGGACGAAUAAUCCAGCUAAUCCAGGCCAAUCCCAGCCGUUCAGACUCCUCUGGAGCCACACACAAAACACGGCGGAUCACAAUCUGAUGUGCUUAAGACGGGCUGUUUGGAAGAAUUUCUGCAUCAUGUAAAUCCGAAGAAGUCACUAAGUUAACAGUGGGAUUCAGUGAUUCUUUUAAAACGAUGGUGACAUGCAGAUAUUUUU